rnacentral:rRNA from 1 species
GACGAACGCUGGCGGCGUGCUUAACACAUGCAAGUCGUACGGUAAGGCCCUUUCGUGGGUACACGAGUGGCGAACGGGUGAGUAACACGUGAGUAACCUGCCCACAACUUUGGGAUAACGCUAGGAAACUGGUGCUAAUACUGGAUAUGUGCUCCUUCUGCAUGGUGGGGGUUGGAAAGCUCCGGCGGUUGUUGAUGGACUCGCGGCCUAUCAGCUUGUUGGUGGGGUAGUGGCCUACCAAGGCGGCGACGGGUAGCCGGCCUGUGAGGGUGACCGGCCACAUUGGGACUGAGAUACGGCACAGGCACCGACGGGAGGGAGAAGUGGGGAAGAUUGCACAAUGGGCGCAAGCCGGAUGCAGAAACGCCGCGUGCGGGAUGACGGCCUUAGGGUUGUAAACCGCUUUCAGCAGGGACGAAGCUUUUUGUGACGGUACCUGCAGAAGAAGCAACGGCUAACUACGUG